UUUCAAUCUCUAAAAUGACAAUGCAAGCUUCAAACAAUACAUUGACAAUUUAGGCUUAUUUUUAAAUGCAUCAAUACAUGAAUGCACAAUCCUAAAGCAUUAACUAUAUGAAUGCAACAGGUUCAAUCCAUGAGACAUAUUAAUCAAGACCAAUGAUGCAAGCAACUUAGACAAUUUCUAAGGGUUAGGAGGUUUGCUUACAAACAAGAGAUCCGAGCUGAUCUCUUGAACCUCCAUGGGCACGGUUCACUUGACCUCGGCAGGUUUGAGGCUUGGAUUCAGUAUCCAACACCUCUCCUUGGUGUGCCCAUCCCUCUUGCAAUGCUCACGCUUCAGGCCUCUUCUAUCCCCCUUCUUGUACACCGGCUUCAUGGACUGAGAGCUUCCUUCAGCGUGUGAAGCAAAGGUAAGUGGUUCCUUUGCUCCAAACAAUCCGUGUGAGCCCUUCUCCUUUUGGACUUGAGCACACACUUCUUCAAGGGUAGGUAGCUUCUCAGACCUCAGUAGAUGUUUGGUGAGAUCGCUGAAGGCGGGACUGAGAGUUAGGAGCAGCCCGAAUACUUUAUCUUGCUCCCUUCUUUCAUUCAACACAUCCGGCUCAACUGAUUGAGGUCUAAGCAUCUCUAGCUCAGACCAAAGGGCUCUGAACUUUCCUAGAUGAGUAGUGAACUCCUCUUCUUCUUGGGACAUGUUGUUGAUAGCCUUCUUGAUCUCAAAGACUCGGCUGAGGUUGGACAGGUUCCCAUAGAUCUUCUUAAGUGUACUCCAAAGCUCUUUAGCACUCUCACAGUAGGAGUAGGCGUCAAGAAUGGAAGGAUCCAAGGAGCUAUAGAGUAUGGAGAGGACAGUGAGGUCUUCUUGUAGCCAUCUGUCUUCAGAGACCGGUUUGGAACUUGCUUCACCUUCAGCUUGUGUGGCGACAUCUUUGGAGCGGUUUGGAGCAUCUGAAAUGCAGUGGCUCCAUAAACCCUUUUCUCCUAUGGCUGUCUUGGCUAGACGUGACCAGAGAAGGUAGUUUGGGCCUUUGAGAGUGACUGGGAUGACAAUGGCUCUUUUGGACUCCAUCUUGAGGCUGGAAAGAGCAAGACUGUCAAGGAACUUCUUCAAAGGCUGGCGAUUGGGAGCUGAGUGAACUGAGCUGAACUGGCGUGAGCUGGAGCUUGUGUUUGUUGCGGAAGUCUUCACCAGGAGUCUGAGCAACCUGGCUCUGAUACCAUAUGAGAUUUUCAGAGUACCAGUACUUGAGUGAUGUAAGAACAGAUGAGAGAUUGUUGUAUGAUGAAGUAUGAAGAAUAGAAAUGAGUUUAAGAGAAUCAAAGAGAGUAUGGGAGAGACUGAGAGACUAGGAACGUGUAUGGGAGAUUAGAGAGACUUAGUAACAAGAUUAAGAGACUUAGUAACCAGAGAAUAAGAACCAAGAACAAGUUUAUGAAGAAGAGAGACUCUCUCAGCUUAAGGGUUUACAAAGUGAUCAUAAGAGGCUUAUAUAUGCCUUUACACAACUCAUAUCACAAACCUAGAUCCUAAGGCUAUAA